UAUUGAAGAGGUAAAAUAAGUAUAUUUGCUCGGCUCAAUAUCUCUUUAUAUCACUUUUAUUCCAUUUCAGCAAUGAGCGUGAUUCAGUUAUCGCUUGUUCUCGUGGCCUUCCUUAUAAUUUCUCCUCUCUUUUAUAUAAGAGGGGAUGACUCUUUGUGCUGGUCUUUGAACGGGAGAUGCCUAUACACAAAUGUAUCCGAACGAUGUUUUCAAUAUAGAGUAGGGAACUGUACUGGACCAAUCAACAGACGGUGCUGCACCCUUGGAGAGAAGGAUCUACGGUGCCAUUUCAAAGGUGGAACCUGCCAAAUAAUUCAAAACGCUGUAGUGGCCGAUAUGUGACAGGUUAUUGUGGUGGAGGUCCAUCUCGUCAAUGCUGUUUGUAACUACGAGUACACAUGUUUUUCAC